AUUGAACGCUGUCGGCAGGCCUAACACAUGCAAGUCGAGCGAGCGACGGACGGGUGAGUAAUGUCGGGGAAACUGUAUGAUGGAGGGGGAUAACUCCUGGAAACGGUAGCUAAUACCGCAUACCAUCAGAUGUGCCCAGAUGGUAUGAGCUAGUAGGUGGGUGAACGGCUCACCUAGGCGACGAUCCCUAGCUGGUCUGAGAGGAUGACCAGCCACACUGGAACUGAGACACGGUCCAGACUCCUAAGGGAGGCAGCAGUAGGGAAUAUUGCACAAUGGGCGCAAGCCUGAUGCAGCCAUGCCGCGGGUGUGAAGAAGGCCGUCGGGUUGGAAAGCUCUUUCAGCGGGGAGGCGUUACCCGCAGAAGAAGCACCGGCGAACUCCGGGCCAGCAGCCGCGGUAAUUC
rnacentral:rRNA from 1 species